ACAGUAUGGUGGGAGCAUUUACGGAUAAGGUCUCUUAACUUUUCUCAUAUCUCAUAAAAAUAUUCACCAUCUAAUUGGGAAAAACUAGUGAUGGCUUUUCUAAUUU